rnacentral:sRNA from 1 species
UGCCGUGAUCGUGGUCUGCAG